GCCGGCCCUGACCCUGGUGCUGGUCGGGUUGCUGCCGGUGAUCCUGCUGAUCCGCCGUUCGGCGCGGCGGGUCGGCU
rnacentral:tRNA from 1 species